GUGUGGUAGGGGCAGAGGGAAUUCCCGGUGUAGCGGUGAAAUGCGUAGAUAUCGGGAAGAACACCAGUGGCGAAGGCGCUCUGCUGGGCCAUAACUGACGCUCAUGGACGAAAGCCAGGGAGCGAAAGGGAUUAGAUACCCCUGUAGUCCUGGCCGUAAACGAUGAACACUAGGUGUCGGGGGAAUCGACCCCCUCGGUGUCGUAGCCAACGCGUUAAGUGUUCCGCCUGGGGAGUACGCACGCAAGUGUGAAACUCAAAGGAAUUGACGGGGGCCCGCACAAGCGGUGGAGUAUGUGGUUUAAUUCGAUGCAACGCGAAGAACCUUACCAGGGUUUGACAUCCUGCGAACCCCUGAGAAAUCGGGGGGUGCCUUCGGGAACGCAGUGACAGGUGGUACAUGGCUGUCGUCAGCUCGUGCCGUGAGAUGUUGGGUUAAGUCCCGCAACGAGCGCAACCCACGUCUUUAGUUGCCAGCAUUCAGUUGGGCACUCUAGAGAGACCGCCGGUGAUAAACCGGAGGAAGGUGUGGAUGACGUCAAGUCAUCAUGCCCCUUACAUCCUGGACUACACACGUACUACAAUGCUACGGACAAAGAGCAGCGAUCCCGCGAGGGCUAGCAAAUCUCAUAAACCGUGGCUCAGUUCAGAUCGUAGGCUGCAACUCGCCUACUUGAAGGAGGAAUCGCUAGUAAUCGCAGGUCAGCAUACUGUGGUGAAUACGUUCCCGGGCCUUGUACACACCGCCCGUCACACCAUGGAAGUUGGCCACGCCCGAAGCCGUUACUCCAACCCUUGUGGAGGAGGACGUCGAAGGUGGGGCUGAUGACCGGGGUGAAGUCGUAACAAGGUAGCCGUACCGGAAGGUGCGGCUGGAUCACCUCCUAA
rnacentral:rRNA from 1 species